GUGGCACGUGCCUCUGGUCCCAGCUAUCCAGGAGGCUGAGGUGGGAGGAUCACCUGAGCCUGGGAGUUUCAGGCUGCAGUGAGCCAUGAUUGUGCCACUGCACUCCAGCCUGAGCUACAGAGUGAGACACUGUCGGGGAAAAAGCAAAAAAAGGCAGAAAAAGAAUGAGUAAGGGAAGAGACAGCUUGGAGUCCCCCACGGAUAAAUGAAUGCAUUCACCUGGAAAUAAUAUAUCAUUUCCACUCAUGUUCCACUGGCCAAAGAAUAUCAAGGGGAUGGAGAAUUUCAGUGACCACUCCCUUUUACCCCCACCACAAACUGAAGGAAGAGAAGAACUGGAACUACAGAGAUUCAUCAGUAUGUUGAUUCCCAAAACUGCAUGGUAAGUACAUGCAGAAAUGUAAUCAACCAAAUCAUUAGCAUUUAUAAAGAAGACAGUUUCAAAUUGAUGGGCAGUGCUGAAGAAACAUAUAAAUCUUUUCCUAAGUCUUAUUUGAAUUACAAUUGAAAUACUUUCUUUGAAUAUAACCAAAUGUAUUCUUACUCUUUUUUAAACAAAGAGGUCAACAUUCCCUAUUAGAAAAAAUAUCAUUUUGAAGCCUAAAUUUCAGAUUCAUAUGAAACAGCAAAUAUAUGUUUAAAAAGAUGCAGUCAUGUAUUUGUUUGACAUGUAUAAACAACAUUGUUUCAAACUGAUAUAUCGGUCUCUAAUCUUUGCUUGCACUGUGUUAUAAAGUUGAUGGUUAUACUUUAUUAGCAGGUAUUUUCAUUAGGGCCCUAGAAAAAGAAUUCCACUUAAAUAUUGUUUC
rnacentral:lncRNA from 13 species